rnacentral:rRNA from 1 species
UACGGAAGGCAGCAGUGGGGAAUAUUGCACAAUGGGCGCAAGCCUGAUGCAGCCAUGCCGCGUGUAUGAAGAAGGCCUUCGGGUUGUAAAGUACUUUCAGUCGUGAGGAAGGUGUUAAGGUUAAUAACCUUAGCAAUUGACGUUAGCGACAGAAGAAGCACCGGCUAACUCCGUGCCAGCAGCCGCGGUAAUACGGAGGGUGCGAGCGUUAAUCGGAAUUACUGGGCGUAAAGGGCACGCAGGCGGUUAAUUAAGUUGGAUGUGAAAUCCCCGGGCUUAACCUGGGAAUGGCAUUCAAGACUGGUUAGCUAGAGUCUUGUAGAGGGGGUAGAAUUCCAUGUGUAGCGGUGAAAUGCGUAGAGAUGUGGGGGAAUACCGGUGGCGAAGGCGGCCCCUGGGACAAAGACUGACGCUCAUGUGCGAAAGCGUGGGGAGCAAACAGGGAUUAGAUACC